UUGGAGGGCAAGUCUGGUGCCAGCAGCCGCGGUAAUUCCAGCUCCAAUAGCGUAUAUUUAAGUUGUUGCAGUUAAAAAGCUCGUAGUUGAAUUUCGGGAUCAAUAUGUCGGUCGUGCCUUCGGUACGUACUGGUAUCAUUGGUCUCUCCUUUCUGACGAACCAUGAUGUCAUUAAUUUGGUGUUAUGGGGAGUUAGGACUGUUACUUUGAAAAAAUUAGAGUGUUUAAAGCAGGCUUUAGCUUGAAUACAUUAGCAUGGAAUAAUGAAAUAGGACGUUCGAACCUAUUUUGUUGGUUUCUAGGAUCAACGUAAUGAUUAAUAGGGGUAGUUGGGGGCAUUAGUAUUCAAUUGUCAGAGGUGAAAUUCUUGGAUUUAUGAAAGACUAACUACUGCGAAAGCAUUUGCCAAGGAUGUUUUCAUUAAUCAAGAACGAAAGUUAGGGGAUCGAAGACGAUCAGAUACCGUCGUAGUCUUAACCAUAAACUAUGCCGACUAGGGAUCGGAUGAUGUUAAUUUUUUAAUGACUCAUUCGGCGCCUUACGGGAAAC
rnacentral:rRNA from 1 species